rnacentral:rRNA from 1 species
ACUCAAAGGAAUAGACGGGGGCCCGCACAAGCGGUGGAGCAUGUGGUUCAAUUCGACGCAACGCGCAGAACCUUACCAACCCUAGACUUGCCCGUCGCGGCCUCGAGAAAUCGGGGCCUUCGGUUCGGCCGGACGGUGCACAGGUGCUGCAUGGCUGUCGUCAGCUCGUGUCGUGAGAUGUUGGGUUAAGUCCCGCAACGAGCGCAACCCUCGCCUUCAGUUGCCAUCAUUUAGUUGGGCACUCUGGAGGGACUGCCGGUGACAAGCCGGAGGAAGGUGGGGAUGACGUCAAGUCCUCAUGGCCCUUACGGGUUGGGCUACACACGUGCUACAAUGGCAGCUACAGUGGGCAGCGAAGGGGCGACCCGGAGCUAAUCUCAAAAAGCUGUCUCAGUUCGGAUUGCACUCUGCAACUCGAGUGCAUGAAGUCGGAAUCGCUAGUAAUCGCGCAACAGCAUGGCGCGGUGAAUACGUUCCCGGGCCUUGUACACACCGCCCGU